rnacentral:rRNA from 1 species
GAUCAUGGCUCAGGAUGAACGCUAGCUACAGGCUUAACACAUGCAAGUCGAGGGGCAGCAUGGUCUUAGCUUGCUAAGGCCGAUGGCGACCGACGCACGGGUGAGUAACACGUAUCCAACCUGCCGUCUACUCUUGGACAGCCUUCUGAAAGGAAGAUUAAUACAAAAUGGCAUCAUGAGUUCACAUGUUCACAUGAUUAAAGGUAUUCCGGUAGACGAUGGGG